rnacentral:rRNA from 1 species
CCCUUAGAUGUUCUGGGCCGCACGCGCGCUACACUGACGAAGUCAGCGAGCAUGUCCUACGCCGAUAGGUGCGGGGAAUCUUGUGAAACUUCGUCGUGCUUGGGAUUGAUUAUUGAAAUUAUUGAUCAUCAACGAGGAAUUCCUAGUAAGCGCAAGUCAGCAGCUUGCGUUGAUUACGUCCCUGCCCUUUGUACACACCGCCCGUCGCUACUACCGAUUGAAUGGUUUAGUGAGAUCUUCGGAUUGGUGCCACCGAGUCCAGCAAUGGACACGGUGAAUAUCGAAAAGUCGAUCAAACUUGAUCAUUUAGAGGAAGUAAAAGUCGUAACA